UGGGGAAUUUUGGACAAUGGGGGCGAACCCGAUCCAGCCAUGCCGCGUGCGGGAGAAGGCUCGGUUGUAACGCUUUGUCAGGACGGUACCUGAAGAAUAAGCACCGGCUAACUACGUGCCAGCAGCCGCGGUAAUACGUAGGGUGCAAGCGUUAAUCGGAAUUACUGGGCGUAAAGCGUGCGCAGGUGGUUGUGCAAGACAGAUGUGAAAUCCCCGGGCUUAACCUGGGAACUGCAUUUGUGACUGCACGGCUAGAGUACGGCAGAGGGGGAUGGAAUUCCGCGUGUAGCAGUGAAAUGCGUAGAUAUGCGGAGGAACACCGAUGGCGAAGGCAGUCCCCUGGGCCAGUACUGACGCUCAUGCACGAAAGCGUGGGGAGCAAACAGGAUUAGAUACCCUGGUAGU
rnacentral:rRNA from 1 species